UGGGGAAUUUUGGACAAUGGGCGAAAGCCUGAUCCAGCAAUGCCGCGUGUGUGAAGAAGGCCUUCGGGUUGUAAAGCACUUUUGUCCGGAAAGAAAUCCUUGGCUCUAAUACAGUCGGGGGAUGACGGUACCGGAAGAAUAAGCACCGGCUAACUACGUGCCAGCAGCCGCGGUAAUACGUAGGGUGCGAGCGUUAAUCGGAAUUACUGGGCGUAAAGCGUGCGCAGGCGGUUUGCUAAGACCGAUGUGAAAUCCCCGGGCUCAACCUGGGAACUGCAUUGGUGACUGGCAGGCUAGAGUAUGGCAGAGGGGGGUAGAAUUCCACGUGUAGCAGUGAAAUGCGUAGAGAUGUGGAGGAAUACCGAUGGCGAAGGCAGCCCCCUGGGCCAAUACUGACGCUCAUGCACGAAAGCGUGGGGAGCAAACA
rnacentral:rRNA from 2 species